CAGUAGCCGCGGGAAUACGUAGGUCCCGAGCGUUGUCCGGAUUUAUUGGGCGUAAAGCGAGCGCAGACGGUUAGAUAAGUCUGAAGUUAAAGGCUGUGGCUUAACCAUAGUACGCUUUGGAAACUGUUUAACUUGAGUGCAGAAGGGGAGAGUGGAAUUCCAUGUGUAGCGGUGAAAUGCGUAGAUAUAUGGAGGAACACCGGUGGCGAAAGCGGCUCUCUGGUCUGUAACUGACGCUGAGGAGCGAAAGCGUGGGGAGCGAACAGGAUUAGAUACCCCAGUAGUCCCUGUCUCUUAUACA
rnacentral:rRNA from 1 species